GUGCUUGAGGGUCUCGAACAUGAGUUCAGGCUCGUGUUGCAUUGCUCGGAGGACGUCAGCACAGGAAGGCCCAGGGACUGCAUAGGUUACAGCGAAGCUGUGAGGGCUGUCGCUCUGUGACACACGCAGGACGCUUGGUCCGCCAAAUAGGUUAUGGAGUCCGCCGAGGGCUUCCUCAUAUGCCCCGCCUAAAAACAUUCCCAGAUAAUAAGGUGCGCUGUUUCCACUUCCCAAUUCAUGGAGAGCCAAGCUUGACUCGCCUCCGAUGAAUUUAUCGAUCUUUCCAUCACUGUCACAUGUCAAGUCGGAUAGAAUUCCCCGAGCUGAAGGAUGUUCGUCUAGCUUGUGGAUGGGAACAAUCGGGAAUAGUUGGUCGAUUGCCCAGAAAUCAGGAAUUGAAGUG
rnacentral:misc_RNA from 1 species